rfam:Helianthus annuus linkage group 5, whole genome shotgun sequence.
AGCCAUGCAGUGAGCACAAAGCGAACUAUUCUUUCGCCUUUUACUAAAGAAUACCGUGUGCUCGCUGCAAAUAGUGGCGUACGCCUAUUUUUGGAGAGACCUUUCUUCUACAGAAAGGC